rnacentral:rRNA from 1 species
GAUGAACGCUGGCGGCGUGCCUAAUACAUGCCAGUCGAGCGAACGGACGAGAAGCUUGCUUCUCUGAUGUUAGCGGCGGACGGGUGAGUAACACGUGGAUAACCUACCUAUAAGACUGGGAUAACUUCGGGAAACCGGAGCUAAUACCGGAUAAUAUUUUUAACCGCAUGGUUCAAAAGUGAAAGACGGUCUUGCUGUCACUUAUUGAUGGAUCCGCGCUGCAUUAGCUAGUUGGUAAGGUAACGGCUUACCAAGGCAACGAUGCAUAGCCGACCUGAGAGGGUGAUCGGCCACACUGGAACUGAGACACGGUCCAGACUCCUACGGGAGGCAGCAGUAGGGAAUCCUCCGCAAUGGGCGAAAGCCUGACGGAGCAACGCCGCGUGAGUGAUGAAGGUCUUCGGAUCGUAAAACUCUGUUAUUAGGGAAGAACAUAUGUGUAAGUAACUGUGCACAUCUUGACGGUACCUAAUCAGAAAGCCACGGCUAACUACGUG